AUCCCCUCGUUGCAUCUCAUCUCCUUGCUACUGCAAGCAACACCGUUGUCACUGCCUUCAGUGAGCUUCUACGAUGUGGCUUUGAUUUGAAGAUUUGUCAGCGUUUGUCUCAUCACCAUCGUUCAUCUCUCGCCAUCACAAAAAACACCAUUGUCACUGCCUUCAAUGAGCUUCUAGGAUCUAGUUCUCAAUCUAGCUCAUCUCCUCGCCGCCGCAAGCAAUGCCAUUGUUGUUGCCUUCAGCGAGCUUCAACAAUUUGGCUUCAUAUGAAGAUUUGUCGUCGCUCAUUUCACCGCCGUCACUUAUCUCUACACCAUCGCAGGCAACACCAUUGUCACUGCCUUCUAUGAUCUAAUUUUCAAUCUAGCUCAUCUCCUCACCUCGGCAAGUAACAUCAUUGUUGUUGCCUUUAGCAAGCUUCUACAAUUUGGUUUUACCAUCUAUGUCACUGCUAAUAGGUAAUCUACUUAAUCUUCUUUGAUUUUUUCCUUCCUCUUCAUACUUUUAGAUCUAGUUCAUGCUCUAGUAGGAAGAAAUAAAGAAUGUUGGUUCUUUUUUUUGUUAUUGUGUAUUUUAAUUUUCAUUGAUCUUUGUGAUGUUGUUGUUGUUAGCUUGUUACUGCUGCAUUUUCUAUUAUGUUGUUGUUUUUUUGCUUCUGAUUUUAUUUAGUUCGAGACCUAAUUUGUUCUAUUAAACUGAGUAAUCUCAUAAUUUGCAUCAUUUGUCCGAAAUUAGUACAACACAACACUUUGCUUUCUCUUCAAAAAAAAGUCACGCCAUUGUAAAGGAAAUGAUUAGGUUUGGAGCAACAGUGCACACGUAUGCAAGGAAUGAAGCUCAGCUCACUACGUCUCUCAUCUAAUGAAAUAAUUCUGGUUUUGAGGUUACUGGAUCUGUUUGCGAUGUCUCUGUUCCUCAUUAGAGGGAGAAGCUGAUGGACUCUAUGUGUUCUUAAUUCCAAGGGAAACUCAACAUCCUUGUAAGCUCUCUUCUUUCUCUGCAUUUUAUCUGUUUGAUAUUAUUCCCCAACUAACACUGUUGUGUAUGUUUUGAAUUCACAUUAAUUGAUACUUCAAUACCAGUAUAGAUAAACAAUGUUUGGACAAACAUUAGAAAACCAAUGAGAGAACUCACUACUUCAGAGCUUUCCAGACUAAUGGGAUACAUACGUGUAAACAAAGAGGAAAAUAUGUGUAGAGGUAAACGUAUGUGCAUAAUUCGAGUUGAUAAAUUUUCAAAUAAUAAUAGGAAAAAAAACUUUAAUAUUCUUAAAGUUGAAACUUUCAAGGUACACUAUAAUUUGAAGGUGCAGGAGGAUGACUUUGUUGGUUUAGUUUGAACUAUUGUUAGUUUCAGUCCUGGUCAUAUUGCUUGCUUGUUAAGUGUAGGAUUAAACCACAGAUUAUGUAUAGUAAAUGAAUAUGUAUAGGAUUUGCUUUUUUAUUAUAAUUUUCCUAAUACUAAUAGUAACAAAAAUUAAUAAAUGACAUAAUAAACUAAUAGAUAAAGCAUUCACAAUGCACCAUAUUUGGUUGGCUUAUGAGGAUGUUUUUGAAAAUAUACUUUUGUAUGUUAUUGUUCUUUCCAAAAUAGUUUGUAAAGAAGAAUAUAAAUUGUAAGUGCGGCAGGGAAUGUUCAAGGAUGUUAAUGUAUAAAAAAUUAAUCAUGAUCUGGGGCAUCCAACGAAAUAGGACCAAGAUGAUCUGCAACUCUUGCGGUCAUCUCCUUCGCUACAUCUACAACAACGACCCUCCACUCACUUAUACUCCCGGUCAGUUCCACAUGGGUCCCGGCUAGGUUAUACCUCGUGCCCCUAGGUACCACUUCAAGGCCAAAGCACUCACAAUUCUUCAAGAUCCCUCUUAAGUCUUUACUCUUCCACUACUUCUUGCUCUUACUCUUCUGAUUAUGAUAACAUUUUUGUAUAUUAAGCUUUCAUUAUAAUUUAUAAAAAAAUUAAUCAUGAUUUGUAUAUGAUUUGCAUUUUUUAUUGUUGAAUGAUAUGUUUAAUUGGGAAUUUCACAAGUUUGAGGUUUUAGAAGAGAUGAGGGAGCUAUGAUUAAAGGCAAGGCGUUUCUGUUUUGAAUACAAUUCUACUGAAUUUGGAUUUUCUAUUAAGAUAUUAUUUACUAGUGAGAAUAUUAUUUACUAUUCAUAGCAACAUCUUUCCUUGCUAGUUCAAAGUUCAAAGUCCAUGAAUUUAUUUUAUUCUUGUUGAACUGGGACUGUACAUUAUUUAUAAGUAGUAUAAGCAGUAUUUAGUUUCAAUUCUUUAUAAUAUAUCUUGAGGACCUCUUUUUGAGUAAUUUCAUAAGUGGUUUUAGAAGCUAUUAUAUAUAUAUUGAUGCAGCUCAUGUGUAUGUACAGUGAUUGUUUUUUUUCAAUGAAAUUAAAUCUUGUUCAUUACUUUAAUUCUUCUCUACUUUUUUAUAUAAAAUGCAAUGCUUUCUAGAUGCAACUUACUAUUGUUUUGAUACUUUUAAUAUAUAUACUUUUGAUAGUUUAUUCUUCAUUGUUGUGUGAUUAGAAUAAAAUUGUGCAAGACUUAAUUAGAUUGUACUUUAGCCAUUUAGUCCAUUUCUAGAUGCAACUUGCUAUAAAAUGGUGAAUAUUUGCUCUCUAUGUAGUUCAUUGUUGACCUCAUUCUAUUUUCUAUUGACAGGAAGGUGUCCAGUAACUUGUUCUAGGUUUGUACAUCAUUGGUUGUGACUUGCUCGGUGUGAGGGUUUCAACGAGUUCAUACGUCCAUAUACAACAGUUAGCUUUGAAGUAAUUUGUAUAAAUGAAUAUAUUUUGAUAUACACUAUCUAUUAUUCUUCUAUCUUUCAAUUUAUAAAGGAACAUGUCUGAAGAGUAUGGAUUUCAGAUCUGAUUGGGGCGGUCAAAUAGUAUACAUCUCUUUUGUUAUCUAAAUUAGUAUAUUUAUAUUUACUGUUGUUCUCUUUUUCAUACUCUGAUAAAUUCUUUCUCCUCAUCUGAAUAUCUAUUUUGGGUGUUGUGAUUAGGGGGUCAUAUCCGAGGUUCCUGAGAUCAUACUCAGAUGUGUUAGUCGAGAUGAGGCAACUUUAGCUGUAGCUCAGAAGGUAUUGGAGAUUCAUCCUACUAUUAAAUAGCACAAAGGGAAGGCCCUUGAUUUUUGGUUAGAGACAGAGGACAAGUUUGUUUUAUUCUAAUAUAUGAAAUAAUUGGAUCAAGAGAGUGAAAUUCCAUCGCCAAAAGAGUUAGGAAGUAGGUCUUCUAGAACGAGCAACAGAGUAGUGUGAAAUAUCAUGGAGCUUUUAUGUAUUAAGAGUUAUAUGUUAAGAUAUUUAUAGUUAAAAAAUGAUGUUAUGUUUGUUACUUUGUAUAG